rnacentral:rRNA from 1 species
AUACGUAGGUGACAAGCGUUAUCCGGAUUUACUGGGCGUAAAGGGCGUGUAGGCGGUCUUGCAAGUCAGAAGUGAAAUUCCUGAGCUCAACUCGGGCGCUGCUUCUGAAACUGCAGGACUUGAGUGCUGGAGGGGAUAGCGGAAUUCCUAGUGGAGCGGUAAAAUGCGCAGAUAUUAGGAAGAACACCGGUGGCGAAGGCGGCUAUCUGGACAGUAACGGACGCUGAGGCGCGAAAGCGUGGGGAGCAAACAGGAUUAGAUACCCUGGUAGGCCACGCCGUAAACGAUGAAUACUAGGUGUAGGGGGCAUCGACUCCCUCUGUGCCGCAGUUAACACAAUAAGUAUUCCGCCUGGGGAGUACGGCCGCAAGGUUGAAACUCAAAUGAAUUGACGGGG